rnacentral:rRNA from 1 species
UCUGGUUGAUCCUGCCAGUAGUCAUAUGCUUGUCUCAAAGAUUAAGCCAUGCAUGUCUAAGUAUAAAUAGUAUACAGUGAAACUGCGAAUGGCUCAUUAAAACAGUUAUAGUUUAUUUGAUAAUUGACAAUUACAUGGAUAACCGUGGUAAUUCUAGAGCUAAUACAUGCUUAAACGCCCGACUUUAUGGAAGGGUGGUAUUUAUUAGACUGAAGCCAAUAUUCCUUGUGUCUAUUGCGGUGAUUCAUAAUAACUGAUCGAAUCUCUUUUUGAGAUAAAUCAUUCAAGUUUCUGCCCUAUCAGCUUUCGAUGGUAGUGUAUUGGACUACCAUGGCAGUAACGGGUAACGAAGAAUUAGGGUUCGAUUUCGGAGAGGGAGCAUGAGAAACGGCUACCACAUCUAAGGAAGGCAGCAGGCGCGUAAAUUACCCAAUCCUGACUCAGGGAGGUAGUGACAAGAAAUAGCAAACCGGGAACCCAUGGUUUCACGGUAUUGCAAUGAGAACAAUUUAAAACCCUUAGCGAGAAUCAAGUGGAGGACAAGUCUGGUGCCAGCACCCGCGGUAAUUCCAGCUCCACUAGCGUAUAUUAAAGUUGUUGCAGUUAAAAAGCUCGUAGUUGAACCUCUGUCUGGGGCUAGUUUUGGCUUUGGUCAGGCUAGUUCUAGGCAUCCGCCUACAAGACUUAGAGGGCAUUCAGUUGUUCACUAGGAGGAGUAGGCAUUUUACUUUGAAAAAAUUAGAGUGUUUAAGGCAGACAAUCGCCCGCAUAUAUUAGCAUGGAAUAAUAGAAUAGGACACUUUUCCAUUUCGUUGGUUAUUGGAAUCGUGUAAUGAUUAAUAGGGACAGUUGUGGGCAUUUGUAUUUAAUUGUCAGAGGUGAAAUUCUUGGAUUUAUUAAAGACAAACUAACGCGAAAGCAUUUGCCAAGGAUGUUUUCAUUAAUCAAGAACGAAAGUUAGGGGAUCAAAGACGAUCAGAUACCGUCCUAGUCUUAACUAUAAACUAUUCCGACUCAAUGUUUGACUGGCUUAUAUAACCAGUUGAGCGUUGUAUGAGAAAUCAAAGUCUUUAGGUUCUGGGGGGAGUAUGGUUGCAAAGCUGAAACUUAAGGGAAUUGACGGAAGAGCACAACCAGGAGUGGAUUCUGCGGCUUAAUUUGACUCAACACGGGGAAACUUACCAGGUUAAAACAAUAGUGGGAUUGACAGUUUGAGAGCGCUUUCUUGAUUGGUUGGGUGGUGGUGCAUGGCCGUUCUUAGUUGGUGGAGUGAUUUGUCUGCUUAAUUGCGUUAACGAACGAGACCUUAACCUGCUUACUAGAC